rnacentral:rRNA from 1 species
UACGGGGGGGGCAAGCGUUGUUCGGAAUUACUGGGCGUAAAGGGCUCGUAGGCGGCCAACUAAGUCAGACGUGAAAUCCCUCGGCUUAACCGGGGAACUGCGUCUGAUACUGGAUGGCUUGAGGUUGGGAGAGGGAUGCGGAAUUCCAGGUGUAGCGGUGAAAUGCGUAGAUAUCUGGAGGAACACCGAUGGCGAAGGCAGGUCUCUGGGCCACUACUGACGCUGAGAAGCGAAAGCAUGGGGAGCGAACAGG